GCGGGGAUGCCGGAGUGGUCAAACACGAAAAACACAGAAGUGGACCUAACGGGCUAGGUUCAGGACCUAGUGGCUUAGUGCCUUCGCAGGUUCGAAUCCUGUUCCCCGCA
rnacentral:tRNA from 1 species